CCCUUAGAUGUUCUGGGCCGCACGCGCGCUACAAUGAUGAAUUCAACGAGUUUAUAACCUUGGUUGAAAAGCCUGGGUAAUCUUUUGAACUUUCGUCGUGAUGGGGCUAGACCCUUGCAAUUAUUGGUCUCCAACGAGGAAUUCCUAGUAAACGCAAGUCAUCAGCUUGCAUUGAUUACGUCCCUGCCCUUUGUACACACCGCCCGUCGCACCUACCGAUUGAAUGGUCCGGUGAAAUCUUCGGAUUGAGACUUUGAUUUCUUCACGGAAAACGCUGUUUUAAAAAGUUGAUUACACCUUACCAUUUAGAGGAAGGUGAAGUCGUAACA
rnacentral:rRNA from 1 species